ensembl:lincRNA 9330175E14Rik RIKEN cDNA 9330175E14 gene
GGAAAGUUUCAAUGAUCAUUAGAAAUACAGGUGAUGGACAUUCAAGAAACAUCGUUCUCUUUUAAAACACAAUAUUCUGUUUUGUUUUUGUUUUUGUUUUUGUUUUUAAAGAUCCCUGUCUUUUUGUACAUUCCUUAAUAUCUAGUAUUUGUUCCAACACAAUGUUGGUAGCCAGAAGCCACCGACCUGAGGUUGGCAACUCUUAGAGAACGCAGCUUUCUUCUAUAGAACAGCAAGUUGCUACGGUUCAGCCAAAUUCUAUCUGUCUAAUAAAAGGCACAGAUCUCCCUCCGCGCCCCGGCUUGGGCAGGUAACUCACCAGUUCAGCUCCCUCUCCACCGCGCUCUGUGGAAACUGAAAGUGGCCACUGAGCGGGCGCUGUUCGCUAGUUCAUAGACUCUACUGCCGCUGCCGAGAAAUCACGUGGAUUCAAAGUGCCAGCCCCAGGGCGCGCGAGUAGCGUGCCCGGAACCCGCCGCGGCUUGGAGAUCGCAGCGGGACAUGCCUCUCUGACUACUGAGACUGGAGACGAUGUAGGAUGAAGGCAGGAGGAGCCACUGAGCAAAACUUCGUGGAGUUGGGUCCAGGGUCCAGUGGCGACAGCGGCUCAUCACCUGAGACCUGACCUGGACAAGCGCGGCCUCCAGGUGUGUCUCUGCUGGUCCCUGGGUGCAAGGGUUGCCUAGGCUACAGAAGAAAGCUUGGUGCAGGGAUAAGGGAUGGAAAGAGGUGGGCGGUAAGAAAAGGACUACAGGGCCAGCGUCAGCCCUGGAAAGUUCCUGUCUCUGUUCCAAGUUCUACAACCUGCCCUGCCUCUUGUCUUUGUCCCAGAACAGGAGGCCAGGCUCCUCCUGAGGAUGGUUUCUGUGACAUCCCACAGUGAAGCAACUUUCCCAGAAUGCUCUGGGGGAGGAAUGGGGAGACAGUGCAUUAGCACUGUAGGGCAGGGUCAUCAGCACACCCAUGACCCCCAAACCUCAGGCUCAAGUCCUCCUCUUAAGUGCUGGCUACAUCACCUUAGGCCAGUGGUUCUCAGCCUUCCUAAUGCUGGGACCCUUUAAUACUGCAGCCUCACGCUGUGCUGACCCCCAACCAUAACAUUAUUCUCGUUGCUACUUCAUAGCUGUAAUUUUGCUACUGUUACGAAUCAUAAUGAAAUCAUUUGACUUGGCAGAGGUUGGGUCCCCCAGAUUGAGAAACACUGCCCUAGACAAAAGUCUUGACUCUGAGUUUCAGUUCUGUCAUCUGUCCUGAGGACCAGAGAAGGAGCACCUUCCAAUUCCUUCAGAAGAAGUUAGAGCAGAUGUGCUGUGUGCCCAAAACUCUUAAGAAAUCCUUCUACGUUAGUCCCCUUCUUUGGAUCUCAAAUUCCUGUGACCUUCUAACCUCCUCCCUCCCGGGACCGAGCCGGAAAUCUAGAAAGUUCUUGACAGGCAAGAGUGUGUGUGGGGGGGAGUCAUUAUUAUUUUGACUGAUUACUUAUGUGUGACUCUUAGCUUUCCCAACCUUACCUGGCUCGCCUCUUACAAAUAGAUGCCUUGUUUUU